rnacentral:lncRNA from 7 species
UAAGAGGAGCUCUGCAAUUAUCAGGAGGAGCCGAGUAGCAGUAGUAUUAGAAUAAUCCGAGGGCCGGAUUCCCUAUCGCUCUCGGGAUGAUUAACCUGGUGGCAAGUGGUUGGGGCUUAGGGAGAGAGCCUGUCUAACUGGUUUGUUUAAUUAUUAGAGUGUGCGCGAGCCGACAGCGGUCUCGGAAAGCUGAGUGCUUGUCCGGGCGUCCGUGGCUCCAUUGCCAACUUGCCAUCGCGCCUGCAGCUUUCGCGCACAAGGCGCCCUUGCCCCUUGCCCCGCCGCGGCCAUGGGGUCGCCGGUGAAUGGUCGCUAGUGGCACGACGAGAGGAAGAGGAGACCACCAAAAAAAGCCUCUCCAGCUUGUUCCGUCUCGUCAAUCGUCAUGGCGGCACUAGCUACUCUGCUGGAAAAGCAUUGGACAAGUUACAGGUGGAGGGAUACUGCCAUUUUUCAUUGGUUCCUUCGGUAACCAUCGGCAAUAUUUCAAUGGCAAAUACGAGUUGAUGCUUUAGUCUUGUAAAGA